rnacentral:rRNA from 1 species
UAGGGAAUCUUCGGCAAUGGGGGCAACCCUGACCGAGCAACGCCGCGUGAGUGAAGAAGGUUUUCGGAUCGUAAAGCUCUGUUGUAAGAGAAGAACGUGUGUGAGAGUGGAAAGUUCACACAGUGACGGUAACUUACCAGAAAGGGACGGCUAACUACGUGCCAGCAGCCGCGGUAAUACGUAGGUCCCGAGCGUUGUCCGGAUUUAUUGGGCGUAAAGCGAGCGCAGGCGGUUUAAUAAGUCUGAAGUUAAAGGCAGUGGCUUAACAAUUGUUCGCUUUGGAAACUGUUAAACUUGAGUGCAGAAGGGGAGAGUGGAAUUCCAUGUGUAGCGGUGAAAUGCGUAGAUAUAUGGAGGAACACCGGUGGCGAAAGCGGCUCUCUGGUCUGUAACUGACGCUGAGGCUCGAAAGCGUGGGGAGCAAACAGG